rnacentral:rRNA from 1 species
AGAGUUUGAUCAUGGCUCAGGAUGAACGCUAGCUACAGGCUUAACACAUGCAAGUCGAGGGGAAACGACAUCGAAAGCUUGCUUUUGAUGGGCGUCGGCCGGCGCACGGGUGAGUAACGCGUAUCCAACCUGCCCACCACUUGGGGAUAACCUUGCGAAAGUAAGACUAAUACCCAAUGACGUCUCUAGAAGACAUCUGAAAGAGAUUAAAGAUUUAUCGGUGAUGGAUGGGGAUGCGUCUGAUUAGCUUGUUGGGCGGGGUAACGGCCACCAAGGCGACGAUCAGUAGGGGUUCUGAGAGGAAGGUCCCCCANAUUGGAACUGAGACACGGUCCAAACUCCUACGGGAGGCA